AAAGAAAUAUAUCAAAAAAGCUUCUAACUUUUUAAAUAGCAUUAAAAUGUUAA
rnacentral:tRNA from 1 species